rnacentral:rRNA from 1 species
UACAGAGGUCUCAAGCGUUGUUCGGAUUCAUUGGGCGUAAAGGGUGCGUAGGUGGCGUGGUAAGUCAGGUGUGAAAUCUCGGGGCUCAACCCCGAAACUGCAUUUGAUACUGCCUUGCUCGAGUACUGGAGAGGAGAUUGGAAUUUACGGUGUAGCAGUGAAAUGCGUAGAUAUCGUAAGGAAGACCAGUGGCGAAGGCGAAUCUCUGGACAGUUACUGACACUGAGGCACGAAGGCCAGGGGAGCAAGCGGG